UACGUAGGGGGCUAGCGUUGUCCGGAUUUAUUGGGCGUAAAGAGCGUGUAGGCGGCCAGGUAGGUCUGCUGUGAAAGUCGGGGGCUCAACCCUCGAAUGCCGGUGGAUACUGUCGGGCUUGAGUACGGAAGAGGCGAGUGGAAUUCCUGGUGUAGCGGUGAAAUGCGCAGAUAUCAGGAGGAACACCUAUUGCGAAGGCAGCUCGCUGGGACGUUACUGACGCUGAGGAGCGAAAGCAUGGGGAGCGAACAGG
rnacentral:rRNA from 1 species